rnacentral:lncRNA from 1 species
UGUCGCAAUAUUACAUGGUACAUAGUCUAUGUUUAUUGUUGAAUGCUGGUUUUGGCAUAAUUACAAAAUGUCUUAGAUUCAACUUUUGAAAAAAUCUAGUCUUCCCUGGUAUUUUCCAUAUCCAUUUGCCUGCUAACUUAUAUGAAAGUUUAUAGAUGUGAUUAAUUUUAAGCAGCAUAAAGGCAAAAGAAAAUUUGGAAUGAUUAAAGCAUGACUUUGUCUUUAACCCUCUUGUUUACUGGGAACUUUUAACAUUUCCUCUGUGAUACUGAGGAGCUCUGCUGUCUGUUGCUGCCCUCUGUAGUGAUGAAGAAGAGAGCACAAGAUCGGCUUUGUUAAAUGCAAUAGAACUUGACUAUAAAAAUUUUCUCCAGAAUGCAAAUGCAGCCUAUUUGAGAAUCGUAUACUCUCUGAAAAUAAGAAGCCAAUAGGACUAUUUUUGCAUCUGACGUGCUCUUCUGCAAGCAAUAGACACUGAGAAAUAUAACCAGACUGCCUUUUUAGGACCCCAUUCCUGAAGUGUAAGUUCUGCUGAAGUCUGAGUGAGACUCCAGGACAUGUGUCUACAGUUUGUGGAGUGACAUUGCCAUUGGGAUUUUUUACAAAGAUCAUAUUUAACCCUUUCAAUGUCUGUUGGGGGAACAGCUGUAAAAAAAUAAAUGGUUAUAUAAUGGACCAUGAAUCCUUUUUCUUUCUUUUAGCUUAAAAAAGAAGUGGACAGCUCUAUUUAAUUUUAACACAGUCAAGACAUUAGGGGUUGGAUGAAGAAAGGUUGGGGUUUGGGAGGUGACUGAAAAAGCCUCUAUCUAUGGGCCUUUUAACAUUGUCUCCAUUUUCUUUUGAGAACAAGAGAAAACAUUAAACAUUUAAAUAUGUAGACUUUCGUAAGUAGAAAUAAG